CUCAACAUCUUCUAUCACUUGCGAUCUCUUAUUCGAAAGCAAAGUUGCACCUUUUGCAAGAACAGCUUCCUUGAUUGCCGUUUUCUUGGCCACAAUAGUAGCAGUGGUUGAUUGGGGGUUUCGUAUACAACCUGGCCAGCUCGGAGACAUGCACUCCACUUUCGUACUUAGCAAUUAUCUCUUUCUUCAUAUCCAUAGUAAUUUUCACCCUUUUUCCCACAGGGUUGGCACUAGAAGCUUUCUUGGGGCCCAUGGUGACUUAUUUUGCAGGUACAAUCACGAAAAACGCUGUGAUAAUAUGAAAUGUUCCGAUUGUAUGCGUGGAUGCGACCGCACUGGCUGGCUUGUAAACACUGGCACCCAUGGGACAGCUGAAGCGCGCUCUGGCCACACGGACGAGUCUUGAACGAAUUGCGUAAGCUGAGUUUUUUAGCGUAAGGCGAGGCAAAAUUUUUGCGUUAAAAUGUAUCGUAUGGUGGAUUUAACGUAAGGUGAUGCCAUCAUAUGGUGAGGGUUCACUGUAAUGAGUUUUUGAAAAGAUUUAGCCUUACACUGUUAAUGUCAUAGAGGUUUUUGUGGCUAGUAUCGUGUCUAUAAGUCCUAUUUCAACUGUCAAGAAAGCAUUUCAGGUCGGGAUUUAUAUUAGAAUUGAUUGUUCUGUAAAUGUAGGUUGCACAAUAGUAUGAGUGAAUGUUUUGUAUAGUGAGUAGGUUUAGGUCUUUGAAGAGUUGGGGGGGUGUUGUCUAGCAGUGGAUUGUGCGAGCAUUCACACUACGGCUUUUUGUUGUGUUGUUAUUCAUUUUAGGUGGUUUUUCGUUGUGGAACCCCAGGCACAAAUAGCAUAGGUGAGUUAUGGGUAGAUCAGUGAAUAGUAUAGUGUAAGUUGUGAAGUUUGUGGUACAUAGUAACAUAUCUUUGAGAGAAUGCCAACUGCUUUAUAAACUUUUUUGUGUGUUGGAUAUGGGUGUUGAAUUUCAGGUUGCUAUCAAGGUGCAGACCCAGGAAUUUUCCCCCAUUAUGUUUAGCAAUAAGGGUGUUGUUAAGCACCCUUUUCUAUUUUCCAUAGGCAGGUAUGAAAAUAAUUAAUUUACAUGACUUUUGAAACUGGGAAUAGAACACUGUACUUUACUGCCAUGCUUGCCAUGCACUGGGAUUAAAGAGUGGGUUAUUGAUUUCCAGGAACAGAUCCCCCCAGCAAAAUUUGAUUGGACAUCCAGUGGUCUGACCAAUCCUUUGGAAACUCCGGCCUAUAAUUCAUCAUUAUUUGGUUUGGACCUUCUCUUAACGAACACUAGUAUUGGUAAAGGAGCAACUAACGCGUUGCUCGCAAGUAUAGAACGAGAAUUUCUCAGCGAAGGUGGGGACAAAGGUUGUAAUAACCGCAUCAAGAGUCCUCCUACACCAUCACCUUUAGUGCAGCAGAUUUUAGGAAGUGGAAUGACUAAAGGAUUUUUGUCAAACACCCCUCUUCAGUCACUCAGCCCAGAGGUACGGCAAGUAGUAGAACACUUGCCUGACUUAAGCUUCAUGCAAAGUAAAGUGCUUAUGUUUCCUAUACGAGGAGAACAGUGAGAAGUGGCUUACAGUGAGUUCUAAACAAAAAUUUAAUUAAAUAAAAAAAAUGGUUGCAGUAGACAUGGCAGGUAUCACUUUUUUUUUUUUUUUUUUUUUUUUUUUUUUUUUUUUUUUGCAUUUAGUGCCAUGACACUACUAUUAGAGCUUUUAUUCAAACAGUAUAUUAAAUUAAAAAGAUUUAAAUUAAAAAAACUUAGCAAUUAUAUUGUAAGUUUAAGUCCUGUAAAAAUAAGUACCUGUAUAGUUCUUAUAUUUUUGAGGAAAGGGAAGAACAACAUGGUUUUGCAUAUGCAUCCUAUAUAAUUAGUCCUAUAAUAAGUAACCUAUUAUUUAUUAGCAUUUGAAUUAUGAAAUUUGAUAUAAAAAGGUUUUUAAGCAAGAAAUUGCUUGUAAAACUCUUUGUAUUUUAAUGUUUUAUUUAACAAAUUUAACUUUAUACAGAAGAAUAAAAAAAGUUCCAAUUCUUUACAGCAUUAGUGUAAUGGUAAUUAUUAGGUACUGCAUAUUUUGAGGUUUAAGUGUCAUGUAUAUUUUGUAUAAUGUUCAGUCUGCUAUAUUGGGGAUUGGGGCUAGUCAGAUAAGAUGUGUACUGGUAAUGUUUUGUCUUUAUGUUCAGGUCUAUAGAGAUUUUUUAUCUCAAUAGUCAGUACUUCACAAGUAUCUGUGAGAGAUGCCAUCUAUGAGAAGCUUGUGGCUGAAUUUGUUGAUACUGAACUUACAAUUAUUUAGAAAUGGAGGGGCUGCAUAUCUUUAUUCAGAUAUGGUAUUUGUCAACCCUUUUGCCUUUUUUUUUUUUUUAACACAAUGGCCAUCUCCGACCAAGGCAGGCUAACCCAAAAGAAAGAUAAAAAAAACAUUCAUUAUCAGUCAACACUUUCACCAUCACUCAUACAUAAUCACUGUAGAGGGUCCCAGAUAUAACAAUUUAGAUAGUCACUCCAAACUGCCAAUAUUUCAAACCCCUCCUUUAAAGUGCAGGUAUUGUACUUCCCAUUUCCAGAACUCAAGUCCAGCUAACCGGUUUCCCAGAAUCCCUUCAGAAAAUAUUACCCUGCUCACACUCCAACAGCUCGUCAGGUUCUAGACACCAUUCGUCUCCAUUCACUCCUAUCUAACACUAACACACACUUGCUGGAAAUCCAAGCCCAUCGCCCACAAAACCUCCUUUACUCCCUCCCUCCAACCUUUUUAAGGAUGACCCCUACCCCGUCCUCCUUCCCCUACAGAUUUCUAUGUCCUCCAAGCCAUUCUACUUUGUUCCAUUCUCUCUAAACGACCAACCCAUCUUAACAACCCUUCUUCAACCCUCUGACUAAUACUUUUAGUAACUCCACAUCUCUUAAUUUCCAUACUCCGAAUUCUCUGCAUAAUAUUUACACCACACAUUGCCCUUAGACAGGACAUCACUGCCUCCUCGCUGCAGUAUUUACAACCAAAGCUUCACACCCAUAUAAGUGUUGGUAUCACUAUACUUUCAUACAUUCCCUUCUUUGCCUCCAUGGAUAACAUUUUUUGUCUCCACAGAUACCUCAACGCACCACAUACCUUUUUUCCUCCAAUUCUAUGGUUAACCUCAUCCUUCAUAAACCCAUCCGCUGACAAGUCAACUUCAAAAUAUCUGAAAACAUUCACUUCUUCCACACUCCCUCUCUCCAAUGUGAUAUCCAAUUUUUCUUUAUCUAAAUCAUUUGAUGUCCUCAUCACCUUGCUCUUCAUUCACUUUCACCUUUCUACCUUUACACACCCUCCCAAACUCAUCCACUAACCUUUGUAAUUUUCCUUUAGAAUCUCCCAAAAGCACAGUAUCAUCAGCAAAGAGUAACUGUGUCAACUCCCAUUUUGUAUUUGAUUCCCCAUAAUUUAAUCCCACCCCUGUCCCCAACACCCUAGCAUUUACUUCUUUUACAACCCCAUCUAUAAAUACAUUGUAUAUUAAACAACCAUGGUGACAUUACACAUCCCUGUCUAAGACCUAUUUACAAGGAAGUAAUCUCCUUUCCUACACACCCUAACCUGAGCUUCACUAUCCUCAUAAAAACUUUUUACAGCAUUUAGUAAAUUACUACCUAUUCCAUACACUUGCAACAUCUGCCACAUUGCUCCCCUAUCCACUCUAUCAUACCUUUUCUAAAUCUAUAAAUGCAAUGAAAACUUAACUACCUUUAUCUAAAUCCUGUUCAGUGUAAACACUUGCUCUACACAUCCCCUACCAAUUCUAAAGCCUCCUUGGUCAUCUGCAAUCCUGCUCUCUGUCUUACCUUUAAUUCUUAAAAUAAUAACCCUACCAUACACUUUUCCUGGAAUACUUAGUAAACUUAUUCCCCUAUAAUUUUUACAAUCUCUUGUGUUCCCCCUUCUCUUUAUAUAAAGGAACUAUACACGCUCUCUCCCAAUCCCUAGGUACCUUCCCCUCUUUCAUACAUUUAUUAAACAAAAAUGCCAACCACUCCAACACUAUAUUCCUCCCUGCUUUUAACAUUUCUGUCUUGAUCCCAUCAGUUCCAGCUGCCUUACCCCCUUUCAUUCUGUAAUGCCUCACGCACCUCCCCCACACUCGUAUCCUGCUCUACUUCACUCCUAAGAGAUGUUAAACCCCUCCCCCCUGGCCAGUGCAUGAAAUUACCGCCUCCCUUUCUUCAUUGACAUUUGAAAGUUCCCGCCAGCUACCCAAUACCUCCAGCUCCCCAUCUACUAACUCCCCUACUCUGUUUUUAACUGACAAACCAUUUGUUCCCUAGGCUUUCUUAACUUGUUUAUCUCCAAAAUUUUUUCCUGUUCUCAGCAAAAUUUCUUGCAGUGCCUCUCCCACUCUAUCAUUUGCUCUUCUUUUGCACUAUCUCGCCACACUCUUCACCUUUCUUUUACUCUCCAUAUACUCUUCCCUUCUUAUAUCAUGUCUGCUUUGUUCAUGUCUCACUUUGUUCAAAACUCCUCAUGCACUCGCUCAACAUUUCCCAAAAUCUCUCUCUCUCUCCUCUACACUUUUCUCUUCUCCAGGUGCAUAAACACUUACUAUAACCCACUUUUCACAUCCAACCCUUAUUUUACUCCACAUAAUCCUUGAAUUUAUACAUUUAUAUUCCCUUUUUUCCUGCCAUAACUUAUCCUUCAACAUUAUUGCCACUUCUUCCUUUGCUCUAACUCUGUUAGAAACCCCGACCUAAUCCCAAUUAUUUCUCCCAACCAAAACUCUCCUACCCCUUUCAGCUUUGUUUCACUCAAUGCCAGGACAUCCAGCUUCUUGUCAUUCAUAACAUCCACAAUCAUUUCUUUCUUAUCAUUCGCACAACAUCCACGUACAUUCAAACAUCCCACUUGACAGUUUUCUUCUUUUUCUUUUUAGUAAGCUAUAUGGGAAAAGGGGUCACUAGCCCAUUGCUCCCGGCAUUUUAGUCGACUUUUACAACACGCAUGGCUUAGGGAGGAAAGAUUCUUAUUCCACUUCCCCAUGGCUGUUAUAAAAAAAAUUUAAAUGUAAAUUAUUGUUCUUAAUACAUAUUUACAGUGCAGUAUUCCCUACAAAUUUGUGACACUAAAUUCACAGAUUUCUAUUUGUGAUUUGUAAUUAAUGGUCUUCAAUUACUAAAUUUGAUAAUUCAUAUUUGUAAUGAUAUUCAUUGUCUUUUGGCUUGAUGUAUGGCUCAUAUAUUGCAAACCAACCAUAGAAUUUUGUUGAAAAUGUGCUCACUUGGUUUCCCAUAGUUAGUCUUUCUUCUUGUUCAUUCCUCCAUAUUCUUUCUUAGAGUAAUAUUUGAAGAGAUAUAACCUCUAAAAUAUUAUAUGAGCCCAAAUUUGUUACAACACUUAUUACAUCAUUUGCUGUUAGUGGUAUUCUGAACAUAAUCCCCCCAUGCAUUUUGAGGAGCACUGUAUUUAAAAGUAAAUAUUAAAAAAAUAAAAAUAAAUUUAAAAAAAAAAAAUAGCAAAAUGUAACAGUACUAGAAGGUACUAGCUAGCAAGCUUGGCUAUCCUAGUUGUCCUUUUAGAAGUGCAUCCCAUCCCCCUCAGGCAAGGUAUCUUGAUGCAAGGGAGUUGCUGAUGAUCAAAGAAAUUGAACCUAGCCUCACUUGGAUUAAACAUGGUUACCUCCAAUUCCUUCUGGCACUGUAUGACCUCUUUGGGUUUAAUGUUUGUUAAUGAAUGUAAUAAUAACAGUAAUAAUAAUUUGAAUCAACAAACUGUAACAUCACCACCCAUCCUGCAAAGUGCAGGUACUGUACUUUGCUUCCCACUUCAGAACUAAAACCCAUCUAACCAGUUUGCCUGAAUCAUUUGUAGCUAUUACAUUAAAUUCUCAGGGGCUGUUAUAAUUGCUCUUUGCUGAUGACAGUGCUUUUAAAGCAGUUUGAAAGAGAAGUUGCAAAGCAUGGUGGAGGAGUUUGCAAGGGUGUUGAAAGGAAGUUGAAAGCACACUUAGAAAAUAGAAAGAUGAUAAGAGGAAGAAAACAUCUAGGCAGUGAGACAUUGGAUGUCAUAUUGAAGGCAAAAGGAUGAAAAAGCAAAUGUAUUUAUAUAUCUGGGAGUGGAUGGAUGUAUGAAAGACAAGGCAAAUCACAAAAUAGAUAUGAGAAAAAAAAGUUUAGGAGUCUGUAGAAAGAAAAAACUUAAAAGUUGAUUCAAAAAGAGGUAAAGUGGUGCUAACACUUUUAAGUGGGUGUGAGGUAUGGUCUUUGAAUGUUGUAGUGAGGAGGUUGAAGGCAGUGGAGAUGUCAUAUUUGAGAUCACUGUGAAGUGUGAAAAUUAUGCAGGGAAUAAGUGAAUAAAUUAGAAAAUGCUGUGGUACAGUAGUGUAAAAUGUAUAAGCCAGAGAACAAAGGAGGGGUUGUUGAGAUGGUCUGAUAAUAUUCUGUAAGAAAGGAUAGAGUGAGAUAGUUUUAAAUGGUAAGGGCUUGAGCAUCCAGUAGGCAGGUGUGUAGGAAUCUUUUGGGAUGUGACAUGUUGUUGGAGUGUAAGUAUAGUAA